rnacentral:rRNA from 1 species
UACGGGGGGGGCAAGCGUUGUUCGGAAUUACUGGGCGCAAAGGGUUCGUAGGUGGCCAACUAAGUCAGACGUGAAAUCCCUCAGCUCAACUGGGGAACUGCGUCUGAUACUGGUUGGCUUGAGUGCAGGAGAGGAACGCGGAAUUCCAGGUGUAGCGGUGAAAUGCGUAGAUAUCUGGAGGAACACCGGUGGCGAAGGCGGCGUUCUGGACUGCAACUGACACUGAGGAACGAAAGCCAGGGGAGCAAACGGG